rnacentral:rRNA from 1 species
UACGGGGGGGGGCAAGCGUUUGUUCGGAUUUACUGGGCGUAAAGGGCGCGCAGGCGGCGCAUUUUGUCAGGCGUGAAAGCCCCGGGCUUAACCUGGGAACUGCGUUUGAUACGGAUGGGCUAGAGUUCGGGAGAGGAGAGUGGAAUUCCCAGUGUAGAGGUGAAAUUCGUAGAUAUUGGGAAGAACACCAGUGGCGAAGGCGGUUACCUGGAGCUUUGCGUGACGCUGAUGCGCGAAAGCGUGGGGAGCGAGUCCGGA